UCUCCAGUCCACUCCGACGGGGAGGGGAGGGACCAAACUAGGGGCCGGGGCUCGGGCGGCCGGAGGGCUCGUGCCGAAGGGAGGAAAAGAGUGAGGCUGGGAGUGAGCGGCAUAGUAUAGCCAGCGUCACCCUUUUACGGGGACUGUCUCUCUAUCGCUGUAGUGACCAGAGAGGCCAGAGGACCCCUUAAAAAGCCGCGCUGACACGCCCCGGGGACGACCUCCUUUGCGCCCUCGGAUUGGGCCUACGAACCCAGACUGGGCCUUCCCAUUGGUGGGUGGCGCUGUCAGUGGGCCCCGAGCUCAGCGCACAGCUUGCUGGGAGUUGUAGGACGAGGCGUCUUCCUCGUCCCGGAGGCUUCGGGCGUGACAAUGGCAGUUUUUGCUCAGCCGUAUCCUUACCAGGAGUCUCCUGUUUCGGCCCUGUGGGGGCUUUGCCACACCUGGGAUCUGGGACCUGCAACUCCGCAGUUUCCAGAAAUGGCUUCUUUUGUUAUUUGUAUUUAAUGAACACGACAACUUGCAAGAUAAAUCUUGAAAACUUUGAUUUAGAAGAGACCCUUUGUCUGGAAUACAGUUGCCCCAGAUCUCUUCUUAGCUUGUUCCCUGUCAGAAUGGUAAGUCUUUGAAGCCAAGGAUUAUUGUCUAUUGUAUUCUCUGUGUAUUCAUGACAUCUAGAUGCAUGCCUGGCCCAUAGUUGGAGCCCAAUAAAUAUUUAUUAGAUGGAUAUAUGAGAAAAUUGAGGCACAGCUAGGUAAAGACAUGGCCUGAGGUCACAUGAAGUUUCUGGAAGAACUAGGGCAUGGAUCCAUGUCUUCUGACUGCUACUCUGUUGAGUGGUUCAGUACAACACCUGGUGUCUAAUCAGUACAGCUUUUAGUCCAGGCACCUGUGUCCCCUGCCCUGGGCUCUUUGCUUGGAAGGACCUACUCAGGCCCCUCUCCAGUCACAUCCCUACCCAGGGGACAAGGAAUACUAAGUACAUUAUUCUGCUCCACCCCCUCCACUUUGGCCUCAGAAGUGGUCAAGCACAGCUUUUGGGGGUGGUGGAGCUUGAUGGCGUUUGUUGGGAUGUCCUCUAUUGGGUGGAAAGAGAAAAACAAUAUGGGCAAAUGACUCUUUUUCUUCUUUUGCUCAUGGCCCCUCAAAUGUUAGGGGUGGGCCUAGUUCUCCCUAUGUAUUAAGUAUUGUUUAAACCAAGAAUCAACACCUAUAUUGUGUCAGACACUGUGCUGGGUAUUUUCAAAUGUAUUUUCUCAUUUAAAUGUUAUUCUUACUUAAUAAGGCUCAGAAGUAACUUGCUUGAGGACCCACAACUAAUCAGGUGCAGACCAAAUGCAUAACCAGUUUCUUCGGAAAGUGUAGAAUGCUCUACAUUUAACAAAACACUAAUGUGUGUGUGUUAUGUGUAUGUAUACAUAUGUGUAUAUACAGAUUUUUUUUAUUGAGGAAAUAAUGUUUGAUAAAAACAUGUGACUAAUUUAAAAGAAUGUAUAUAAAUAGUAAAUCUCCCGUGCCACGCCCUAAGUCAGAAAUUACUAGUUAACUGUUUCUUUUGUUAUAAAGAUACCCACAUAUUUUAAAACUUACCCCCAACGAUUUUGAACUUUUGUAUUUGGAAAACAUUAGAUAUAAGCUAAACACAGUGGAGAGAGUGUAAUGAACCUCCAAAUAUCUCUCAUUCAGUAUCAUUUUUAUUUCAGGUAUUUCCAGAACUUUUUUGUUAUCAUUUUUAUUUGUUGGAAUAUUUUCAAUCAAAUCCCAGAUAUCAUGUAAUUUUAUUAAAUUAUAUUAAGAUAACUAUUUGAAAACAUUUAGCUAUAAUGUUGGAAAAUAUUUUGACUUUUCAUGUAGAAAUCUUGAUUUUAAAAUAGUAUUUACAGUUAAAUACCAAUUUUAUUUGUUUUAUUCUAAAACUCCCUCCUGUAUUUCAAAGAGGACUCAGAUGGGAGCUGGGCAUUUCAUAGUGAUUUCUGUGACUAUAAAUAUAACGUAUAUGUGUGCAGCCUGUGUUAUAUCACAUAGUUUUCCUCUCAGGAUUCUGUGGGGCUGUGCAGGGCCACUUUUUUUUUUUUCUUUUCCCUUCUUUUGGAAGAGCUGUUCAAAAUGGUAAGCAAAUAAAUGCCUUUUUUGCCUCACUUCUCUGAGUGACAGAACCUGAAAAUGAUGAAUAUGAAAGAGCAGACUGUGAUUUAAUAUAGUGCCUUUUCUAAUUCAAAUGACAGCUGACUUUUCUGAGCUGAAGUGUACCCACAUCUCGGUAAUAGCAUUUAGAGCAUGAGUAGAUUAUAAUAUAUCAUGGCUUAUAGAGAAGUCUAUACAUUAGUUCCAGGAAUAUGUCUAAGAAAUAUAAAUAAAUAAUGUUCCUAGUUGCAUAGAAAUAUGUAUAAUCCCCACCAACUGAGGCAAAGCCGAGUUAUUUAUUUCUAUAUUGACAGCAACUCUUUUUUUCUUAAGUACCUGUUUUCUAGAUAGCAUUUAAAUCUGCACUGCAUUUUAAUAAACUCUUCAUUUUCUUUUUUUCUUUUUUGCACAGUGUGCAGGAUCUGAAAGCUCUUUCUCUUUUUAGUAAUGAGGAGUACAUGGUGUUUUCAGGAAACUCUGGUGUGAUAAAUCCCUUAUAUUCUUCAGUGUUCAGUGCCUCUCUUUUAGGCAGAGUCCCAUCAGGAAAAUCUCUGGAGUGAUGCUGUCUGGAGGGCUGGACUGGGGGAAGGGGCUUGUAGGGAGGAUGCUUCUGAAUGUCUAUGUGAGAGGAGCUGAGAGGCACCAAUCAGCAAGGCAAUCUGAGUGGAAAGAGGAUUCAGAGGCUUGAUUGGAAGCUGCAUUUGCAUAGCAAAUGUCAGUAUCAUGUAAGUAUCCAGUGUGGCUUGGUGCUGCCACUGCUCUAGACUUGCGCCACCCAACAUGUGGCUUUUGAGCACUCGAAAUGUGCUUAAUUAAUCCAAAUUAGAAAUGGUGUAAGUGUAAAAUACAUGCGGGUUUUAAAAGAUUGGUAAUGCAAAAGGAAGGUAAAAUAUCUCAGAAUGUUUUAUAUUGAUUGCAUGUUGAAAUGAUAUAUAUAAAUAUAUAUUUUAAAAUACAGACUAUUUUUUAGAGUAGUUUUAGAUUCACAUCAAAACUGAACAUUGGGGCGCCUGGGUGGCUCCGUCAGUUAAGCAUCUGCCUUCAGCUCAGGUCAUGAUCCCAGGGUCUUGGGAUCAAAUCCCACAUUGAGCUCCUUGCUCAGCGGGGAGCCUGCUUCUCCCUCUGCCUGAAGCUCCCCCUGCUUUUGUGCGCUGUCUCUCUCUCUGACAAAGACUUUAAAAAAAAAGAAUAAACCUCUAGAAAAACAAUAAUCUAAACCUUAAAAAAUUUUUUCAUUAUUAAAAAAAAAAAACCUGAGCAAAAAGUGCAAGGAGUUCUCAUAUAUCCCCUCUCCUCACGCAUGCACAGCCUCCCUACCACCUACAUCUUGCUCCAGGGAGUUACAUUUGGCAUAAUGAACCAAUAUUGAUACAUCAUUAUCACCCAAGUCCAUAGUUUUCAUUCACUGUUGGUGUUGUACAGUCUAUAGGUUUUGACAAAUGUAUAAUGACACGUAUUCACCAUUAUAGUAUCACACAGAGUGGUUUCACUAUCCUAAACCCCCCCUGUGCUUUACUUACUCACCUCUUCCUCUCCUCAAACCCCUGAUCUUUUUACUGUCUGUCAUCUUGUCCUUUCCAGAAUGUCAUAUCAUUGGAAUCAUACAGUAUGUAGCCUUUUCAGAUUGGCUUCUUUCACUUGGUAAUAGACAUUUAAGUUUCCUUCACAUCUUUUCAUGGCUUGAUAGCUUAUUUCUUUUUUGCCCUUGAUACUAUUCCAAUAUGUGAAUCUACCACAGUUUAUUUCUCUAAAA
ensembl:lncRNA